rnacentral:snoRNA from 1 species
AACCCAUGGUGAGGACAUCUCCUUAGCAAAUCCUUAUACCUAUCCUAAGCCUCAUAUAGUGUUUCAGAAUCAAGUUGCACAAAAGAGGUGAUAUCAUUACGUGCCU